CAAUGCUAAAUAUUUCACUCCACUCUCUUCUUGCUUGCAUGGUUUCUGAGAACUUGGAUAUAUUCAGCUCUCCAUAUUUGCGGGAUCUGCAUAUGGGGAUUCAAGUACCGUAGGUCAAACCUCUUUAGGAACAAAAAUAAAUAACAAUAUAAAAAUGCAAAUGAACAGCAAUACAGCAUAACAACUAUUUACAUAACAUUUGCAUUUUAUUAGCUAUUAAAAGUAAUCUAGAGUUGAUUUCAAGUAUGCAGAAGAUGUAUGCAGUUUAUAUGUAAAUGAUAUGCGAUUUUAUAGAAUGAAAUUGGGCAUUCUCAGAUUUUAGUAUCUGCGAGGGUUCCUGUAAACAAUCCUCCUUUGAAUGAAUAUGGGGACAAUUUUAAUUGCUAUCUUUGCUUCUCUAUAGGUCUGGUGAUUUUUCUGUCUUCUUACAAGAUUUUUUUCUUCAUCUUUGAUUUUUUGAAGUUUGAAAAUGGUAUACCUGGAUGUGAUUGUGUCUGUAUUUAUCAUGUGUUGUGUUCUUUGAGCUUUCUGGGUCACUGGUUUGAUGUUUGACAUUAAUUUCAAAAAAUUCUCAGUCAUUACUGUUUCAAAUAUUACUUCUGUCUCUCUCUCUCUCUCUCUGUCUCUGUCUCUCUCUGUCUCUCUCUCUCUCUCUCCUCCUUGUUUUCCCAUUGUGUGUUUAUACCUUUUGUAGUUGCCUAACAUUGUUGAAUAUUUUGUUCUUUUUUUAUCUUUAGUCAUUCUAAGCAGCAAAGCAUUCAAGAGGUGACUUGGGUGCUGUUAAAGGCAUCCAGUUUUAUAAGGGAAGCAGAGCAUAAGCAUAAAGGUUUGGAAAGUUUGCAGCCUGACAAUGCAAUAG
rnacentral:lncRNA from 1 species